UACAGAGGUCCCGAGCGUUGUUCGGAUUUACUGGGCGUAAAGGGCGCGUAGGCGGCCGCCUAAGUCAGACGUGAAAUCCCCAAGCUUAACUUGGGAACUGCGUCUGAUACUGGGUGGCUUGAGUUCGGGAGAGGAAUGUGGAAUUCCAGGUGUAGCGGUGAAAUGCGUAGAUAUCUGGAGGAACACCGGUGGCGAAGGCGGCAUUCUGGACCGAAACUGACGCUGAGGCGCGAAAGCCAGGGGAGCAAACGGG
rnacentral:rRNA from 1 species